UACGUAGGCAGCAAGCGUUGUUCGGAAUUACUGGGCGUAAAGAGUGUGUAGGCGGUGCUCCAAGUCUGGUGUGAAAUCUCCCGGCUUAACUGGGAGGGUGCAUUAGAAACUGGAAUGCUAGAGGAUGGGAGAGGUAGGCGGAAUUCCUGGUGUAGCGGUGAAAUGCGUAGAUAUCAGGAGGAACACCUGUGGUGUAGACAGCUUACUGGACCAUUUCUGACGCUGAGACGCGAAAGCGUGGGUAGCAAACAGG
rnacentral:rRNA from 1 species